AGAGUUUGAUCCUGGCUCAGGACGAACGCUGGCGGCGUGCUUCACACAUGCAAGUCGAACGGAACCUUCGGGUUUAGUGGCGAACGGGUGAGUAACACGUGAGCAACCUGUCCCGAUGACUGGGAUAACAGUGGGAAACUGCUGCUAAUACCGGAUGUCCCCAUUUUUCUGCAUGGUUUUUUGGGGAAAUGCUUUUGUGCGUCGGGAGGGGCUCGCGGCCUAUCAGCUUGUUGGUGGGGUGAUGGCCUACCAAGGCGUCGACGGGUAGCUGGUCUGAGAGGACGAUCAGCCACACUGGGAUUGAGAACGGCCCAGACUCCUACGGGGGGCAGCAGUGAGGAAUUUUCGUCAAUGGGGGCAACCCUGAACGAGCAACACCGCGUGCAGGAAGAAGGUCUUCGGAUCGUAAACUGCUUUUCUCUGGGACGAGAACGGACGGUACCAGAGGAAGAAGCCCCGGCUAACUACGUGCCAGCAGCCGCGGUAAUACGUAGGGGGCAAGCGUUGUCCGGAUUUAUUGGGCGUAAAGGGCGCGUAGGCGGUUUCUUAAGUUUGAAGUGACAGUGGGUGGCUUAACUACCCAAGGCCUUUGAAAACUGGGGAACUUGAGGACCAGAGAGGGACAUAGAAUUCCGGGUGGAGUGGUGAAAUGCGUAGAUAUCCGGAGGAAUACCAAAGGCGAAGGCAGUGUUCUGGCUGGCAUCUGACGCUGAGGCGCGAAAGCUAGGGGAGCGAACAGGAUUAGAUACCCUGGUAGUCCUAGCCGUAAACGAUGACCACUAGAUGUGCGGGGUAUCGACCCCCUGCGUGUCGGAGCAAACGUUUUAAGUGGUCCGCCUGGGGAGUACGGCCGCAAGGCUAAAACUCAAAGGAAUUGACG
rnacentral:rRNA from 1 species